AUAAGAUGAGAAGAUCCUGUGGAGCUUAAGAUCCAUAACUUAACUAAUAAUAGCAAUUCGAACUAAGGGGUGAACCUAAAAACAUCUAAGUUAUAAUCCUUGCUUGGGGUGACCUCGGAGUAUAAAACAACCUCCGAAUGAUAUAACCUAGGUCAACCAAUUCAAGUGCAACAAAGCCAAUAGUUGACCCAAAUCUUGAUCAAUGGAACAAGAUACCCCAGGGAUAAAAGCACAAUCCAAUUUAAGAGCCCAAUUUGACAAUUAAGGUUUAGGACCUUGAUGUUGGAUCAGGAUACCAGAAUGCUGCAAUCACUAUUCCUUUGUUCAACUAUUAAAGUCCUAAGUGAUCUGAGUUCAGACAGGAGAAAUCCAGAUCAGUUUCUAUCUAU
rnacentral:ncRNA from 1 species